UUGAUUGGUCGAAAGACCUUAUCAGAUUCUACCACCUCUGUGAACCGUUGACCUCCGGGUUAAUAAUCAAGCAUCAGUGUAACGAACGUAAGAGUAUCUUAAUUAAACA
rnacentral:misc_RNA from 1 species